CCGAGGUAGUGUGGCUCCAGAGCACUGCUCCUCCCCAAACCACCUUACUGGGGAGCGAGAAGACAGAGCCGAUUUAUUCAAAGAAUUGUUACCAUAAUUGGAAGGGAGAGGCAGUGGAAAUUUACUUUGCUAAUACAAGCAGCAAAUUUUUAAUUGAAAAGAAAAUACAUUGAAAGAGGCCAUGUGUGGCAGCAUGAGCUGAAAAUUUCUAAGCUUUGCAGACCAAUGUAAAGGGAGAAACUUAGUGACCAGAAAAAAGUCACUCAGCAACAUGGAUUAAAAGAAACAUGGAUAUGGUAUGUC